GGCGACCCUCUUAACGCCAUUCAAAGUGUAUGUCAUCUUGUUUCUAUGCCCUCUUCUCCGAUGUGCACUGGUAUUUUGUGAGCACACAUUUUUAAUUCACAGAGCAUUGGUGUGGAUCUCAUUUUUCCUUUCUCCCCCUUUCUUUUCAAAAGCAAUAUGUUUUGAAAGUCUUUCCAAGUUGCUGUGUGUUCAUCUACUCUGGGGCUCCUAACUACCACAUAAAAUACUCCAUCAUGUUUAUCUUUCGCAGUUUACCCUCUGCACUUCCUCAGCCAUGGACUGGGCCCACAAUCACGCUAGGAUACCCUCUCCUUAGGUGUGAGAGAACCUCUUUGACACAUCUACUGCCGGCCAAGGGGUAAUUGAGCUUUGGGGUAUGUGUCUCCGAGUUGAUUACUAGUGCUUGCAUGUUCUCCGGCAGAGCUGGUCAGUAUCAGUCCUCAUUUCCACUGGAAAUGCCUGAAAGUUCUCCUAACCUCACCAACACCUAACAUCACACAGCUUCCUAAUUUUGCUCAGCUCUGACCUCCAAGUGAUGGCAUUGCUUAUUAACUUGAGUUUUUGUAAUAACCAAUGAUUUGGGUUACAGACUUAAAUCCACACUAGCUUUUCUAGUUUCCUCCUUUUUCUUUCCACUCACUAGUUCAAAUUGCUUUCAUGAGCUCAUAAUCUUUUCUUAACUUCAGGUUUCUUUCAUUGCAGGCUUCUUUCUUAUUGACUUUCAGGGCUCCCCUUUAUGUUAUAGAUAUUAAUUCAUUGUCAGAUUUAGACAUUACAAAUACCUGCUUCCAUUUUGUCCCCAUCCACCUAUUUAUCAACGAUGAGAUUUUUGUUGUGGUGGUUGUGGUUGAAUAGAUGUCCUCGGUUUCUGUAUAACCAGGACACUAGCUGUUUUCCUCAUGGCUUGUGCUCCUGGGGACCUAUCUGUGCUGUGUUCUAGUCUCAGCUGCCCUGGACCCCCCCUUCUUCCCUUUCAAGUCUCCGACCAGGAGAUGCUUUUGUGGAUGGUCCUGAGCAGUUUCUCUGUCCCAGAGAACAGCUACAGUGUAUGCCAUAACACACACGUGUGUGCCAUCCCAAAGAGAAGGCGUGGAACUCCAGGAACAAACCUUGCAAUUGCUGCAGCAGAGAAGAAGCAAAAGAUGUUGCCCUUCUGGGCUCUGCUGUCCCCAGCCUGGUCCUCGGACAAAGCUGAGCAACACAUUGGCAGGAAUCUGCCUUCAAGUCCCCAGGUCAAAGAAAUCACAACCCUGUCCAGGAGGGCGGUGUUCUGGGGCGGCAGAGCAAAGAUGGAAAAGUCCUGUGUAACUUCAAGCAGAGCACUGAGGAAGGAAGGGAGCCCUUGUGCUUUCCUUGACUUUGCAUCCCAGAUGGGUAACGUUAGCCACAGCUGGCACCGAAGCCAGUGAGAAACAGUGCUCGACCCCGAAGAGGGCCUUCUCGUGCACGGUGAAAGGAGCCUUCUCCAUGUGAGCUCUGGGCUCAAUCAGUGUCCACCACGGCUCCUAACCCUGUGGGAAGACCUCAGGCGGGCAGAGCUGAAAGAGAAGCUCUCCUCUGACGUGUGCACUGAGAUAGCUCUGAACUCUGGACCAGCAAGGCACCAUGACUCUGGCCACUCGCUUACACCAGCAGACAUCUCUGCUUUGGGCCAUCGAGAAUUUCUAGAGUUCAUCUGGAGCCUUUCCAAUCACCCAGCUAGAGAAAUGAAGUCGGAUGAGCGUGUUUGGGGGCUUUCUACAGUUCUUUCAAAAGGAAAGACAAGCUGGGUAUGCUGGAGCAUGCCUGUAAUCCCAGCACUCUAGAAGGCUGAGGCAGGAGGAUCACGUUCCAACCCAGCUUAGAUAAAUUAGCAAUUUAGGGAGACCCUGUUUCAAAAUGAAAAAUAAGAAAGGCUGGGAAUAAAACUGAGUGUGAACGCCUUGGGUUCAAUUCCCAGCACUUCAAAAGAAAAGGAAACACAAAUUUUAAAGAUAAAAUUAUUAUCAAAGUGUCUUUAAUGAUUUAAUUAUCUCUAGAAACAUAACUUUAAACAUUGGAAUUUUCUGUUUUAUCAUAGAAGAAACAGAAAUUUUGACUGCAGAUAUGGACACAGAAAGAAAACGGAUAAAGUCACUGUUACCUAAAAUAUCCUGUGGAGUCAAAAGACCUGUGCACACUCGAAGGAAGCGAACUGUGUGGGAGGGAAGCCUGCACAAGCCGUAAACUUGGGUACAAAGUCAGGGACACUGCGUGAUGGGAUUCUGUGAGACCAGGAGGCUGACCAGGACCGGCUGCGGGCCACCUCUGCGCCUGCCAGUGGGAGAAUAGCAGUGACGCAUGGAUGUCUUUGCAGGGAGACUUCCGUGGCAGGUGGCAAUUAAGGAUGGAGAUAAAAUCAACUGCGGGGAAUUUAUAUCGGUGGCUGCUGGGUUCUGACUGCUGCACAUUGCGUCAGACCUAGUAGAGCUCACCAUUACCAAAUAUGGACCUCACUCUUAGACUGGAUAAAACUUAACUCUAACAUAGUUGUUGAAAAGGGUGGAAAGAAUUAUUAUCCACUGAAGGCUACAACGGAACUACCUACCAAAAUGACAUUGCUUUGAUUGAAAUAAAAAAAACGUCCCAGCCACAAAGAAUGUGUGUUCUCUAAUUCCAUCCUGCCUGUGUCCCCUGGUCUCCAUAUCUAUUCCAACCUAAGGACAGCUGCAUCAUUUCUGGCUGGGGUCGAGAAAAAGAUAACCAAAAAGUCUACUCGCUUAGGUGGGGUGGGGUUAACCUAAUAAGCAACUGCUCUCAGUUUUACCAAAAUCGCUACUAUGAGAAGGAAAUGGAAUGCGCAGGUACAGCUGAUGGUUCCAUUGAUGCCUGUAAAGGGGACUCUGGGGGGCCCCUCGUCUGCCUGGACACCAGCAAUGUGACUUUACGUUUGGGGCAUUGUGAGCUGGGGUGAAAACUGUGGAAAGCCAGAGUUUCCGGGCGUUUACACCAAAGUGGCCAAUUAUUUUGACUGGAUUAGCUAUCAUGUGGGAAGGCCUCUUAUUUGAAGCACAAUGUCUGAAACGUGAUUUGAUCUACCAGAAGUUUCAUUUUAAUGACAAUGGAACAAAUUUUACUACACACAGUAUGUGUGUUGUUAAUGUUCUCAUCAAAAGGGUUUGCUAUAUUGGAAUUUUGCUGUGUAAUUUGCAAAUAAAUAUUUUGGUCAAGCAUACAAGUCUGUUUGUGCUGGGGGCUGAACCCAGGACUGUGUUCAUAUUCAACAACACUGAGCUACACCCUCAACCUACAUGUUUUACUUGUCAGAAAAUUUGACUAAAUUCUCUCUUCAUGUAGGGGUGAUGUAUUGACUAUAUUAAAGGUUUAGCUCAUUGAAUGAUAUUGUGUCACAUAAAGCCAGGGGUUGAAACCCCAAAUCUACAACCUACUAAGUUUGACCCUGGGCAUUUUAUCUUCUUUGUGUCUCACUUUCCAUCUAUAACAUGGAUUGUGUGAAAAUGAUGCUACAUAUUUACAUAAAACACCUGGCAUAGCACCUGUCUCAAGGUUUUAACUGUAGGGAAGAGAUAGGGUAAAGGCCUCCCUGAGCUUUAUUAAGAUCAAUAGGGAAACUUACUGAAAGAACAUGAGCUGAAAAAAAAAACCCAAAAAGAAAACAGAGCUGAAACAGGAGCACCCAAGGCAGGGCUUUAUCGGGGGAAGGAGCUGCUGGACUGCCUCAAACAAUGGUGAGAGAGGGCGAGACUCACCGGGGUGAGAUUUAUAUAGGCCGGUGCAGUGGGGAGAGUAUCGUGAGAGUUGAGCAAUAGGACACCAAGUGAUUGGAAGGGGAGGAUCAUGCGCAUAGCAGGAUGGAGCAAUAAGUUAGUUUUUGCUUUUCGGGGGGGUGGGUAGGUUUCACUUUUCCAAAGGGGCUCAUUUCCAUAAGCAGGAACCAUUUCAGGAACAGGAGCCAUUUUAGAAUGCAGGACCACUGGGGCCAUUUGGUCUGCUAGAGAACUCAUCACUUACUAAAAGCAGUUUCUGCCUCUACAGGUAUGAUGAGGAAAGCAAAACUUAUAAAAACAAAACCUAAGUCUUAAGUGUUAGACAAAACUCUAAAGGCCAUAACUACUGCUCUCCGUCACCUUCCCCUUUGAUCUUUCUCCUCCCUGUGGCUCCUGUUCUUUGCCCUGACAAAUCUGUUCCUAUAGAUAAUGGUUUUGCCACAUCCUGUUUCUAUGGGAGCCUAUUUUUUUCUUCACUCGACCAAGGUCACCCAGAUUUGCUAAGCUGCAAACUAUCACUGCUUUGCCUUUGUUCUGCUUCUGUAACUUCGGUAUAAAAGGAAUUGCAUAACUCCUGCUCAGGGCUCAGAAUUUGGAGUCACAAACUCCACUGGGCCUGCUGGCAUAAUAAACCUCGG
rnacentral:lncRNA from 1 species